rnacentral:lncRNA from 1 species
UAAAGCUGUCAAAAUGUCCCAAAGCUGUCAAAAUUCAGCCUUACUGCACUGAACAUAUAGCUGUUUUCACCCAUCUUAAGUCCGGAAUUAGAUUUUGGUAUUAAAACAAAAAUCAAAGUAGACAUUCUCAGCUUUCCAGGGAUAUAUAGCACAUCUCCAUACGAUUUUUCUACAAUUUUUGGUGAUUUUUACAAAAACAGGACAAUUAUACCCUUUAUAAUUUCAUUUUACCCUUUACAUGAUCAAACCUCAUGAUCAAUAUCACCAAGCUCUUCUUUUACAAUGAUAAAACUGAAUAUUUUAGUAAUCCAUUCUAAUUCAAGUAUAAACCAUGGGUUUCAUUACUAAUUUUCACUAAUUACUCUUAAACCAUAUGAUUAAUUCUCAAGUUUACAUGUAGUUACUUGAUUUCCAUUUAAGAUUCUAGGUUAAUAACAUAAACUCAUACCUAAUUUCAUUAAAUCAGUGGUAAACCCACUUUGAUCAAACCCUAAUCUCUUAAUAACUCACUAAUUACAAGGGUUAAUCAAAUAAUUAAGAGUUCAUACCUUGAUUACUAGACUUGAUACUUCAAGAACACUCAAAAUCUUGAUUUAAUCUUCAAAACUUGAUCAAGAUUGAUCAUGUAUGUGAAAAUCUCCCAUAGGGAUGAUGAGGAACUGAAAAUGGCAGAAAAAUGACUCAAAAUCGAGUUUCAAUGGGUAAAAACCCGAGCUGGGUCGGGUUUGACCCGGUUUUGGUACCUAUUUUACCCCUAAACACUAAAAAUUGCAUAACUUUUCGCUCGAAACUCCGUUUUCGAUGAGGUUUUUGCCUAUACGUUUCUAACGAGAUAAUUUACCACUUCCAAUAAAAAAUAUCCUAGAAAAGAUCUUCCAAUAAAAUCAGAUUUACUUAUUUCCAACUUAGACGUUAUACUUUCGUUAAUUCCGAUAGUUGACUUUUUGAUCGGAAUCACAUAAGACUUUCCAAUCACUUCCAAUACCUUUCAAAUGAUUCUAAACUUAGUUUAACUUCAAAUAUUAUAAAACUAUUUCGUUAGAAAUCAACGCUUAAAACCAUACCGAAAAAUAAUAAUAUUUUUUUUUACGCUUACAAUUCUAUUUUAAUAUAACUACCUACUUUAAAUGUUUAAAACAACAUAAUAUCUAAUAAUAUUCAUUUUUAAACUAACAAUCAUAUGAAACAUGAUAAUUAAACAAGGUUAGUAAAGUGUAUGUUACAAAUACCUCCUCCUUUUGAGGAUUUCGUCCUCGAAAUCACGACGAUUUAAACAAGCGGGGAUAUUUUUCUCUUAUCUCAUUCUUAUUUUCUCAAGUAUAAUUUGGGCCUCGAUGAUGUUUCCACUUGACAAGCACUAACUCCACUUCUUUAUUACGCAGAUCAACCGUUCUCUCAUUUAUAAUCUCUUCUGGUUCUUCUACAUAUCUUAACUUAUUAUCCAAUUUCACCUCAGAUAAUGGAACUGUCUCAUCAUAGAUGCUCAAGCAUUUGCCUAGAUAGCUUACAUGAAACACAUCAUGAAUACCUGCCAAAUCUUCCGACAAUUCCAAGCGGUAUGCUUGUUUACCAACUCUCUGGAUGAUUUUGAAAGGAUCAACAAAUCUAGGGCUUUGUUUUCCUUUCUUCCCAAAUCGCAUAAUGCCUUUCCACGGGGAUACUUUUAGCAUUACGAAAUCACCCACCUGGAAUUCUAUGGGUCGUCUCCUCUUUUCUGUAUAGGACUUCUGUCGAUCCUGGGCCGCUUUCAUUCUUUUUCGUUCAAUUUGAAUCUUGUCGGUGGUGUCUUGGAUCAUUUCAGGGCCUCCAAGGAUCUUUUGUCCUAUGUCUCGCCAACACAAUGGCGUACGACAUUUGCGACCAUAUAAUGCUUCAUAUGGUGGCAUUUUGAUUGAGGCAUGGUAACUGUUAUUAUACGAAAAUUCGACAAGAGGUAAGUAUUUAUCCCAGUUACCACCGAACUCCAAGACACAUGCACGAAGCAUAUCUUCUACGGUUUGGAUUGUUCUCUCCGUCUGACCAUCUGUCUGGGGAUGAUAAGCUGUGCUGAGAGCAACUCGAGAUCCCAUUUCACGUUGCAUACUUGCCCAAAAGUGUGAAGUGAAGCGAGUAUCACGAUCGGAAAUGAUCUUUAGUGGCACACCGUGUCUUGCAACAAUUUCAUCCAAGUAUACUUGUGCGUAUUUCUCCAUUGGAGCCGUUUCACGCAUGGCAAGAAAAUGAGCGCUUUUAGUCAGGCGGUCGACAAUUACCCAAAUGCUAUCAUGCUGUCUAGCAGUCUUUGGCAAUUUGGUAAUAAAAUCCAUGGAUAGUUCUUCCCAUUUCCAUACAGGAACACUAAGACUUUCUGGGGUUCCAUAAGGCUUUUGGUGCUCUGCUUUGACUUGUAAGCAUACUAAGCAUUCCUGUACAUAUCUUCCAAUGUCUCUCUUUAAUCCAGGCCACCAAUAAUCAGCUCUUACAUCAUAGUACAUUUUACUUGUACCAGGAUGUAUUGAAAGUUUAGAUUUAUGGGCUUCAUCUAAAAUCUUCUGUCUCAAUCCACCAAUCUUUGGAAUCCAUAGCCGAUUCUUGAAUACUUUUAAUCCUCGCGGAUCAUCAAGUAAAGCAUCAUUAUAAUGUAUCAUCCCUUCUUUCUUCACAUUUUCUGGCUUUAGGGCCUCUUCUUGCCAUUUCUCUAGUUCAUCUAGAAUAGUGAAUUUUACUGUGGUAUGAGUAAUAGCAUAACACAUACUAUUACGAUAAACUUUUCUGCUAAGUGCAUCGGCAACUACGUUGGCUUUUCCAGGAUGAUAUAGGAUUUCACAGUCAUAAUCUUUGAUCAGCUCCAUGGCUCGUUGUUGUCUCAUAUUCAAAGUUUGCUGACUGAAUAUGUACUUGAGACUUUUGUGGUCGGUAAAUAAUUGACAUUUUGUACCAAAAAGAUAAUGCCUCCAAAGUUUUAGGGCAAAUACCACUACAGCGAGUUCGAGAUCAUGAGUGGGAUAAUUCUUUUCAUAAUGUUUCAGUUGUCUUGAGCAGUGUUCUAAAAGGUGCGCCAUGGCGUGAGGCAUGGCUCCGCCGUUACGAAAAGCCUCAUAACGUUGCUGUUAGGCAUGGCGCGUGGCAAGGCGUGAUAUGGCGCGCCAUGGCGCGUUAUGGCGUGUUAUGGCGCGUGUUUUUUCGUUUGAGACACAGUUUUUUGCUCUUUGUUAUGUCUUUUCUAAUCGGAGAUACAAGUAUUGUGGUUUUUGUUAAAAUUUUCUUACUAGUUAUUGAUCUAACACUUCUAAAAAGUUGUUAUAUUUAAUAUAAAUUUAUAUUUAUAUGGUAAUAUAAUCUUAAAUUAAUACAAAAUCGCCGCCUUACAUCACGCAUUGAAAAACUCCAUGGCUCGCCAUGGCUCGUUAAGCUUGAGGCUUGACCUUGCCGCCACGCCACGCCUCACGCCAUUUAGAACCUUGGUCUUGAGGCAUAGGCUAUCACUUUGCCAUGUUGCAUCAACACACAACCGAGUCCCAAUCUUGAAGCAUCGUUGUAUACGGAGAAAUCAUCAUCACCUUCUGGGAGUGAUAAGAUUAGAGCAUGAGUCAAAAGAUCUUUUAGAGUUGAGAAAGCUUUUUCUUGGGCUUCACCCCAUUCGAACUUUGCAUCCUUCCUUGUAAGACUCGUGAGCGGUACGGCUAUACGAGAAAAGUCUUUAAUGAAUCUCCGGUAAUAUCCCGCGAGACCCAAGAAACUACGAAUUUCGGAAGCAUUACGGGGCACUUCCCAAUUUUGAAUGGCUUCAAUUUUGAUAGGAUCUAUAGAUACACCAUCACUAGAAAUAACAUGGCCAAGAAAUUGAACUUGGCGAAGCCAGAAUUCACAUUUAGAGAAUUUAGCCUAUAGUUUCUCCUUUCGAAGAAGUUCUAAUACCGCACGAAUAUGAAUGGCAUGAUCAGCUUCAGACUUGGAAUAGAUUAGAAUAUCGUCAAUGAGUACGAUGACUGAUUUAUCGAGCAUUGGGCGACAUACCCGAUUCAUCAUAUCCAUGAAUACAGCAGGAGCAUUUGUUAAACCAAACGGCAUAACAAGUAAUUCAUAAUGCUCAUAUCGAGUACGAAAAGCAGUCUUCGGUACAUCCUGCUCGUGAACUUUCAACUGAUGAUAUCCAGAUCUCAAAUCAAUCUUCGAGAAAUAGCUAACACCCUGAAGUUGAUCAAAUAAAUCAUCAAUGCAAGGUAGUGGGUACUUGUUUUUUGAUAGUCACCUUAUUCAGCUUACGAUAAUCAAUGCACAUCCGCAUUGAUCCGUCCUUCUUCUUGACAAACAAUAUCAGAGCACCCCAGGGAGAGGUACUCUGUUGGAUAAAGCCUUUGUCAAGUAAUUCCUGCAGUUGGAUCAUCAUUUCUUUCAUCUCUGUUAGCGCGAGACGAUAAGGAGUCUUUGAAAUCGGAGCAGCACCAGGCACAAGGUCAAUUCGGAGUUCUACUUGCCUAUCCGGAGGAAGGCCACGCAAGUCAUCGGGGAAAACAUCAGGAUAUUCGUUAAUAACGGGAACAUCAUUUACCGUUUUCUUCUCCUCUUUUGAGACAUCAACUGAGUAGGCCAGAUAGAUAGAACACCCCUUUGAUAUGAAUUUAUGAGCUUUAAGGAAAGAGAUUAUUUUUAAGAUUCUUUGUUCACCAUAGACAUAUAUAGGAUUCUCCCCUUCAAUAGGAAUGCGUACUAUCUUUUCAUAGCACAAGAGUUCUGCACGGUUCUUUGACAACCAGUCCAUGCCGAGAAUGAUAUCAAGGUUGGGUUGGGAGAUAGGAAUCAAAUUGGCAAGAAAAUUAUAACCUUCAAUUUCUAUGACACAAUCUCUAUAGACUUUAUCAACAAGUAAUGGUAUCUACAUGAAAUGGUUGUGCGAGUGCAUAGCAAGCAAUUUGAAAAGAACGCGCAAAUUCACGAGACACAAAAGAAUCUGAGGCACCAUAAUCAAAUAAGAUGUGAGCAGGUCUAGAAUUGACGAGAAAUGUCCCAGUCACAACAUUCGGGUCCUCGCGUGCCUCCUCUGGGGUAAUCUGGAAUGCACGACCUUUAGCCUUUGGCACCUCCUCCUUUUGGGUUGAAGUGCCCACCGGUUGUUGAACGGAAGCUUGACUUCCUACCAUUUGGCUGGUAAGAGUUGGGCAGAAACGCUUUUUGUAGCCAGUAACACCGCAAGCAUAACAUGUAACAUUCUUCAUCGGGCAAACAGGCUUCAUAUGACCUGUUUCUCCGCAUCCAUAGCAAAUCACUGGUCCUUUUCCUGUCAUGCAUUGACCCUGGUGGCUCUUUCCACAUUUCUGGCACGAUGGUGGAGCUCUCAACUGAAGAGAAAAAGAUUGUGGCCGACCGCGACCACGAAAGGCGCUCUGAGAUUGUACUUCUGUGCUAGGAUCAGAUCGAGCCGAUGGAAUAGUUGAAAUAGAAACAGUUCGAUCAACAUGUGGAUGCUUCAGACAGAAAGAGUGGCACCACGUAUCUCUAAGUCAUGCUCGCGCAUUCGGGCAUACUCAACAGCUUUAUCGAAUGAUAGAAUAUCCCGGUUGAUCACAAAAUCACGGAUUCCAUACCGUAACCCUUCCAUGAAUAACUGACUUUUAUCGUCUUCAGUCGGGAUAUACUUCGCAACAAACCGUGCCCUUUGAUUGAAUUGAGUUUCAUAUUCGAUCAUAGUCCUUCCUCCCUGCUUAAGUUCGAGGAACUCCUUCUCCAGUCUUCUCCUCAUAUCUAGAGGACAAUAUUUUCCUAGAAUGCGGAUUUUAAACAUCUCCCAAGAUAAAUUCUCCUGGUCAUACUCGUUAAGAGCUUCAAAUGUCGCUUCCCACCAAACUAAGGCUUCUCCAAUGAGCAUUGCAGAAGCAUAGUUAGCCUUUUCUUCAUUAACCACAUGGGAGAUACAAAAUACUUUUUCUGUGUUCUGGAUCCAGGUAAGAACAACAAUGGGAUCAAGGACACCUGAAAACUCUGUAGCACCACUACUCUUGAAAGUUUUGAAUGAGGGACGUUUCGCUUUCUUUCUUGAAGACUCUCCGGUGGCUUACUCUUUACCCUUAUCACUAUCCCUUUUGUGUUGUUCGAGAGUUUGUCGAAUAACACCAUUAAGUUUAUCCAAAAGUCGCACCUCACGAGGGGAUAUUGGAGUAUCUCCUUCAUUAAGAUGAAGAUCUCCACCCACAUCUAGUGUAUGACUACCCUCCUGCUCAGUCAUUGCUCUGAAAAUUUUGGAGUAAGAUAACACGUAAGAAUAUAAGGAUUUAUCAUUACCCAACACCCCACUUAAGUCUUUCCUAUGGUUUGUAUCCAUAUAUGGACAAUGAAUAUGUUCAUAUAUUGAACUUCCAACAGUUUAAGUCUAAAUACCAGUUCGUGGUAUUUAGUUCACUUAAACUAGUGCUCUGAUACCAUGAUUGAAAGACCCCAUUCACUAAAAUUACCAUAAAGGCAAACAUGCUACAUGCAUAUUCAUAAUUAUAAUUCACACUAGUGGUCUACAAAAGCAUGGAUACAAACCAACUAAAAGGGUUUUUACAAAGUUUCAUAACUAGUUGUAUAAACACAUAACUACCCAUGAAUUUAUAAUCCAUAUACAUAUAUGUAUACCAAGUAAAAACAUAGUAGUGUCAACUACUCUAAGUCCUCCAACAAAGCCUGUUUACUUUGGAUGCUUAUCACCUGAAAUAGUUAAACACUGAAAGGGAUAAGCGGGCGUCGCUUAGUGAGUUCAAAAAAAUAGAUACAAUAUAACGCUAUGCCAUAUACAUAACAAUAUGACAUGAACAAAAAGAAACAAAGGACAACAAAGGCUUAUAUGUGUAUCAAAUGAAGGGCUUUACAAAUCAAUAAACGGUUAGAUUCAAGGGAUUACAAUCAAUGAGACACAAUAAUUUAGGAUCAUAAACAUCAUAAAUUCCAGCCCAAGAGGCAUUUAAAACACAAUCCCUUUUAAUCAUGUUGCUAGAAUAUACAGGCUUUCAGCCUUACCUAGCCCGAAGCCAAUACCAAAGUGAUACGAGUCAUGCUCUACAUGGUCAAAGGCACAAAGCCAAUACCAAAGUGAUACGAGUCAUGCUCUACAUGGCCAAAGGCAUCAAAAUCAAUAUCAAGUAAUAACCACUUAGAUCAAUAACACAAGAAAGCACAUUGCACAUAUAACACAUAACAUACAAUUGUCCCUAUAUUGAACUCACUGUGCUGUAACCGAAUGUUGCGAUAAAAUUCCUCUUUUUUCUGAUGAAAUUACACCAUCCUCAGGCCUCUAAAACCUUCAAUUAUACCCCUGGAGUUCAUAUUUCAAAUUUCAUAAGCAAUUACUUAACUACUCUCAAGUUAUGUUGUUUUCAAUUUAGAAAUUUUAGUUUUUGUUCUUUGUAUAACUGUCACUUGCAGAUCUGUUUUACCCUUCUUAAAUGUCAAAAUAACUAAUAAAUUAUAAAUAUUAACAAAAUACACUCUUAUAUCUUUCUAAUGCCACUGACCUCACAUUUUAAUGGUUUUUCUAUAAUUUACUAUGAAUUUUACAAAACAGUAUCCUAAAGCUGUCAAAAUGUCCCAAAGCUGUCAAAAUUCAGCCUUACUGCACUGAACAUAUAGCUGUUUUCACCCAUCUUAAGUCUGGAAUUAGAUUUUUGUAUUAAAACAAAAAUCAAAGUCGACAUUCUCAGCUUUCCAGGGAUAUAUAGCACAUCUCUAUACGAUUUUUCUAUAAUUUUUGGUGAUUUUUACAAAAACAGGACAAUUAUACCCUUUAUAAUUUCAUUUUACCCUUUACAUGAUCAAACCUCAUGAUCAAUAUCACCAAGCUCUUCUUUUACAAUGAUAAAACUGAAUAUUUU